GCCAACUCCACUUAAAAUCUUUGCUCCUGUAAGCUCAAGUUGCCUUAUCUGUCUAAGACUAUACGGGGAACAUAACAGUAUGAUAAAAGAAUGGAUUGAAACAUCUAUGUUACCCGCUCUUUAUCGACUUCUAAUCUUACACGCUUAUCUUAUCUGUCUGAAAAAGCUAACAUGUGGUUUCGAAAGUUGGUUUGAGUUAGUUGCAGGAUGUGCGUCAUCAUAAAACGUACGUGUGCUUGAUGUAAUAUGUAAGAUGAUCAAAACCUUUCGGAAUUAUAAGCCAUAAGUAUAACUGCAUCGCAUUCACAGAGCUUUUGCGAGUCGUAGAUGUUAGAUUGCUUUGAUUCUCAGCCGACCAUACUGCAUUUUGAUCGAGAUCUUAUGGAGCUCUUUUGCCCGAAAUUGAGGAAACAGAGAAAUCAAGAUUUUUAAUUUUGGGAAGAAAUUAAUUGAUUCAUGAGAAAAACACACUGAAGUGACACUUACAUUCCUAUUGGUUAAUAAGACCUAUUGGUUAAUAAGACGUAUCCACUGCCAGUUUCUAUUCUUGCUAACCUCAUCAGACCACUGGUAAUUUCUAUUCCAUUAGAAUAUUUGUUUGUCGUUUAAAUGCGUAAUUUGCUUCCCUGUGACAUUUCUCAUAUUACAAAGCCAUGCAGAGAGAGUAACAACUGAAUUAAGAUCAAUGUGCUUUCUGGAGAACACACGGAAGAGCUCCAGACGCACUUCCUUUAUCAUUGCCCAAGUUUAUUCCGUCAAAAGAUUUAAUUACAGAGUGCGGUAGUUCAUUAAAAUAACAAAGUUGCGGAGCUGUAUCUAUCCUGCUUUGAAAUGUUUGUCUAAUUUAUGUUGAUUUGAAAGCAAGUUGUUAUUACUUUUAAUUCUUUUCCUCUGGUGGUUAUGUGUGCUGAAACAUCAGUGAAUGCUUCUAGUUAUUUCUCAUGAAAGAUUCUUAUUCAGCUUUAAAAAUGAAACUCUAGAAAGAAAUGUUUGAUGUAUGCUAAAGGUCGAAACAGUUUUUUAAAGCCAUUCCUUGAGCUUCGAAGUAUUACAGACUAAUUAUUAUAGCUAAAUAUAGCUUGUACUGAACAAGCAAAUUUUAAGUGCACUCGCGAUCAGAUUAUCUGUAUAUUUAAUUACUGCGCACUUUUAAAAGAUUUUCUUCCAAUAAUCGUGGCUCCUUUUCCUUAGCAGAAACGGUGAACGUUGUACAUUCUGAAAAUCAUUAUUAAUAAGAGCUCAUUAGCAUAAACUAUUCGAUUUACUUUGCUAUGCUGCCGAAAGGAAAGAACACAGUACUUGGCAUUAGAUUUCAGAGGAUUAAACCAAAACACGAAACUUGUUAUGUGUCC